AACGGCCGUACCAUGCUGAAUAUAUCGGUUCUCGUUAGAUCACCGAAGUCAAGCAUCAUUGGGCGCGGUCAGUACUUGGGUGGGUGACCACCUGGGAACACUGUGUGCCGUU
rnacentral:rRNA from 1 species